UUGAAAUGGGAUUAAAGACGUGCAUUUAAAUUCAGACUAAACCGAAUGACCGAUUUUUCAGAAGUGAAUGAACAUUUUAGGAAAUUGGCCGGGAAAACCUAUAUUAUUAGACUUCACCACAAUCAUCGUUGUUUUUAUUUAUGUAUAUGGAGGUAAACCUUGGCUUACAGCAAGAAGGCUGGAAGAAGAUGGUACGAGCGUCUGGGGAAAUAAUCGUCUCAUCCAAGGCUGAGUAGUGAGAACAUCUCAGUGCUGGUGCAUGGGCAUUGAGGAGGUGAGACGAGAGGGCGAUGAGAUCAAGGGUGUAAGAUUACUGGGGUUUCGUUGACGUCUCCUGGCAGAAACAUCUUUGGAGACAUUGGCCUCGAUUUCGAAGUUAUAUUGAAAACUCGUAGUAAAAGUAUUAAGUAAACUGCAAUUUUAUUUAAAAUACAUCUUAUGGGCAUUACAGAGUGGUGUAUUCUUACAUAUCCUUUUUUUUUUUUUAAGUUUUUUUUUAAUUGCAAAAUAACCAGUUAUUCCAGAUUUUGUAUUCUUGGAAUGUUCAAAAACUCAAUUGGAUUGUAACUUGAUUAAAAUACUUUCAAGUAUUGCGCCUGAUGUAAGGAGUAAGACACAUCUUGUGAAAACUUUUGAAAAAUAUUAUUUCUCCAAAUCUUUAAAAUUCUGGAUGAAUGAAUACUGAAAUGUGUCCUUCUUGCAUCGAGAGGCAUUUCUAAGUCGUUUACAGAAAAGUCAUUUUUUUGACAAGAUUUCGUAAAAAAUGCAAGGUUAACCCCUUGCAUUUCCCCCCAAUUUUGGCUGAAAAUUAAAAUUUCUCCAACUUGCAGGAGAGAUGCCCAAGGGUCCCUAAACCACAUUCCUGUACAUUUCCUAGACAGUUAAGAAAUUAUUUAUCAAUUAUUUGAGGGAAAAUGGCUAAAAACAAUAUUUUCGUCUACUAAAAAUGUAAGACCUUUGCCCAACUUAUCAAAAUUAUGCAUGAAUGAAUAGCGAAAUGUGUUUUCCCUAGCAUCCAGAGGUAUUUCUGAGUCUUUUGCAGAAAAGUCAAUUUUUUGACCAGAUUUUGUGAAAAAAAGUAAGGUUAACCCCUUGCAAUUUUGUUCAAUUUUGGCCAAAAAGUAAAAUUGCUCCAAACUCGCAGAAAAGACGCUCAAUGGUCCUUUAAAUGCAUUCGUACAUGUUUCCUUGAUAGAUGUGCCAUUCUAGAGAAAUAAUGCGUAAUAAACAUUUGGGCAAAAUCAGUCAAAAUUGAACUUUUCUACUCAAAAAUUAUUAUUUUCACCCAAUUCUUUAAAAUUUGGGAUGUAUGAAUUCUGUGUUCCUCUUGCAUCAAGGGGUACUUGUGAAUCGUUUGCAGAAAUGUCAAAUUCUGACAAAAUUUUGUGAAAAAUGUAAGGCUAACCCCUUGUAAUUUUUUCAAUUUUGGCAAAAAAAAAAAAGUUUCUCGAAACUUGCAGGAAAGAUGCCCGAAUGGCCCUUAUACGUAUGCCUACUAUUGUACACGUUUCCUGGACAGCUGUGCCAUUUGAGACUUAACAUUUUAAAGCAAAAUCAAUAAAAAAUGGUUGUUUCUCUCAAAGUAUUUUGGGCCCAAAUCUUCAAAAUUUUCUCUGUAUAAAUACUGGAUUGUGUUCCUCUUGCAUCAAGAGGUAUUUCUGAGCUGUUUGCAGAAAAGUCAAUUUUUGACCAAAUUUUGUGAAAAGUGUAAGGCUAACCCCUUGUAUUUUCUUCAAUUUUGGUCGAAAAAUAAAAUUACUCAAAAUUUGCAGGAAAGAAGCCCAAGGGUCCCUAAAACGCAUUCCUAAACAUUUCAGUCGUUUGCAGAAAAUUCAACUUUGACAAAAUUUUGUGAAAAAUGUAAGGCUAACCCCUUGAUGUUUUGAAAAUUUUGGCCGAAAAAUUAAAUUGCUCAAAACUUGCAGGAAAGAUACAUAAGGGUCCCUGAAACACAUUCCUACACAUUUCAGUCGUUUGCAGAAAAGCCAACUUUGACGUAAUUUUGUGGAAAAAUGUAAGGCUAACCCCUUGCAAUUUUAAUGAAAUUUGGUCCAAAAUGGACUUUUCUUGAAAUAACACGGGAUCACCUGUUGAUGUAAGCUAAACAUGUUUUAUUCUUCUUAGCUUUUUAUUUCGAACAUUUGUGCAAAAAA